rnacentral:tRNA from 1 species
AAUUAGAAAGCGAAAAUCGCAUUUAGUUUCGGCCUAAAUUUUGGUCCCAUAAACCUCUAAUUU